rfam:Dermacoccus nishinomiyaensis strain M25, complete genome.
AUCCCAUCCAGAGCGGCCGAGAGAUCUGGCUCGUCGACGCCGCAGCAACCGACCCUCACGGAACGGUGCUCACGCCAGAAGCGAUGGAGU